GAUGAACGCUAGCGGCAGGCCUAAUACAUGCAAGUCGGACGGGAUUUGGGAGCUUGCUCCUAAUGAGAGUGGCGCACGGGUGCGUAACACGUAUGUAACCUACCUUAAUCAGGGGGAUAGCCUCUCGAAAGAGAGAUUAACACCGCAUAACAUAUUUUUAUGGCAUCGUAGAAAUAUCAAAUAUUUAUAGGAUUAAGAUGGGCAUGCGGAACAUUAGCUAGUUGGUAAGGUAACGGCUUACCAAGGCUACGAUGUUUAGGGGAUCUGAGAGGAUGACCCCCCACUCAUGUAAUGAGACACGGACCAGACUCCUACGGGAGGAAGCAGUAAGGAAUAUUGGUAAAUGGGCGCAAGCCUGAACCAGCCAUGCCGCGUGCAGGAAGACGGCCCUAUGGGUUGUAAAAUGCUUUUGUACCGGAAUAAACCCUUUUACGUGUAGAAGGCUGAAUGUACGGUAAGAAUAAGGAUCGGCUAACUCCGUGCCAGCAGCCGCCGUAACAC
rnacentral:rRNA from 1 species